AUUUCCAGUAUGCUAAUGAAAGACCCCCGAAGCCGGGAGACCCUCACUCAAGUCUCGGGAUAACGAGAUCCCCCAAGAACUCACAUAAGACC
rnacentral:pre_miRNA from 14 species